rnacentral:rRNA from 1 species
CAGGACGAACGCUGGCGGCGUGCCUAACACAUGCAAGUCGAACGGGGUAAUCCUUCGGGAUUACUUAGUGGCGAACGGGUGAGUAACGCGUGAGGAACCUACCUUUCAGUGGGGGACAACAGUUGGAAACGACUGCUAAUACCGCAUAACAUGUACGGACCGCAUGGUCUGUACAUCAAAGCUUUAUGUGCUGAAAGAUGGCCUCGCGUCUGAUUAGCUAGUUGGUGAGGUAACGGCCCACCAAGGCGACGAUCAGUAGCCGGACUGAGAGGUUGAACGGCCACAUUGGGACUGAGAUACGGCCCAGACUCCUACGGGAGGCAGCAGUGGGGAAUAUUGGGCAAUGGGCGAAAGCCUGACCCAGCAACGCCGCGUGAAGGAAGAAGGUCUUCGGAUUGUAAACUUCUUUUAUGAGGGACGAAGAAAGUGACGGUACCUCAUGAAUAAGCCACGGCUAACUACGUG